CUGACCUCAGAUCAGGCGGGACUACCCGCUGAACUUAA
rnacentral:rRNA from 1 species